CAUGUCCCACUAGGAGGAGGCCCAGAGGAAGACUCAGGACACACUGGAGGGACUACGUUUCUCUGCCUGGGAACACUUUGGGAUUCUCCCCAAAGGAGCUGGUCCAAGUGGCUGGGGAGAGGGAAGUCCUGGUCUCUCUGCUUAGGCUGCUGCCCCCAAGACUUGACCCCAGAUAAGAAGAAGAAAACGGAUGGAUGGCUGUUCACUGCUGCCAGGACAUUCCAAUAACAUCUUACACUUGUGUAGAAACAACACUGUGUAUAAAUCUGAAAUACUGUAUGUGUAAGCAAGUUUGGCUGCCAUCUGCUGGAAGAUCAAAG